GGACAUCCACAAGGUGGUAUGAAUCAGCAUACACUGUCUCAGUCGGCGAGCAGCCUAUGCCAAAGUACAUCAAGUUUCCUCGAGCAGUGAGUGUAUUAUUUCACAGUCGAUGAACUUUUUGCUUAGGUAAAUUGCGUGCUCUUUUCGACAAGACUAGUCAUACUGACCCAAUACGCACCUCAUAGAUCCUUUGAGGGCUGUCAAGUACCAGAUUAACAAUUGUUUCUUCCCCGGAAGGUAUCAGAAUCAGAGGUUCCUGCUACUCAUUUUUUCUUUCCAUGCCCCUUGGCAGUCAUCAUUCCACCUGACCAUUUGAUUUCUUUCCUUUUUUUUUGUUUUUGGUUCAGGCGUUUCUAGUAUUGUUCUUUUUUUCUCUCUUUUUUUUUUUUUUGCAGGAUCGACCUUCGUUCCUCUGAUUUACUCACAACAAGCCUCGGUAGCUUGAUGAACAACACUCCAUAAGUGCACUGAUUCGGACUCAACAGUAUGAGUGAUCUCAGUCGGCCAAACACCUUGCCCUGGCCUGCCGGGUGCCCCUGUUCUGCUUGGGACUGUGUCAUCAUGUCAUCAACAUGGCAUUCGCUUUCACGAUGAAUCAUAUCAUGAAACAAAGUCACCGUAGACUUCUG
rnacentral:lncRNA from 1 species